rnacentral:lncRNA from 10 species
AGGCUGGAGCUCAGAGGCCCGAUCACAGCUCACUGAAGCCUCAACCUCCCUGGCUCAAGUGUUUCUCUCACCUCAGCCCUCCUAAGUAACUGAGACUACAGUUACUUGGAGGUGAAAGUUGUAAGACAAAGAGUAUGUGGGAAGAAUGAAAAUAACAGUUCUAUUGAAACAAGGAAUGAAAACUCUGCCCCUAAGCUGACAUGGUUUAUGACUGACGAUGUCACCAAAUUGUGGAGAAGCACUCAUUAACAUAACUGAACAAUAGUUUUGAAAGCUCUUGUACAAGAUACAAGUAGCCAUAAGACUUACUGGCCUGGUGUGUGGAGACUUCAGAGGAGGUAGGGCAACUCUUCUAGGUGCCAUGAGCAAGCCCCAUUAAACUAAAGAAAUCAAAUCACCUCAUUCUUAAAGUCUUGAGAAGAUGAGAUAAACUUAAAAGCUUUCAACUGUGAAAGAACAGAAACAAAGCUCGCUGGAGAGAUGGGAUCUGAAUAGUCAAAUCAUUUUGAAUAGGCACUAUGUACUUGGGAACUUCUGCAUGAGCAAGUGAUUCUUGGAUAUUCCUGUAAAUCCAUUCUGAAUAUGCAGCGAUGAUAGGACAACCUCUCUGCAGAGAAGAGCUACA